GAUGAACGCUGGCGGCGUGCCUAAUACAUGCAAGUAGAACGCUGAAGACUUUAGCUUGCUAAAGUUGGAAGAGUUGCGAACGGGUGAGUAACGCGUAGGUAACCUGCCUACUAGCGGGGGAUAACUAUUGGAAACGAUAGCUAAUACCGCAUAACAGCAUUUAACCCAUGUUAGAUGCUUGAAAGGAGCAAUUGCUUCACUAGUAGAUGGACCUGCGUUGUAUUAGCUAGUUGGUGAGGUAACGGCUCACCAAGGCGACGAUACAUAGCCGACCUGAGAGGGUGAUCGGCCACACUGGGACUGAGACACGGCCCAGACUCCUACGGGAGGCAGCAGUAGGGAAUCUUCGGCAAUGGGGGCAACCCUGACCGAGCAACGCCGCGUGAGUGAAGAAGGUUUUCGGAUCGUAAAGCUCUGUUGUAAGAGAAGAACGUGUGUGAGAGUGGAAAGUUCACACAGUGACGGUAACUUACCAGAAAGGGACGGCUAACUACGUGCCAGCAGCCGCGGUAAUACGUAGGUCCCGAGCGUUGUCCGGAUUUAUUGGGCGUAAAGCGAGCGCAGGCGGUUUAAUAAGUCUGAAGUUAAAGGCAGUGGCUUAACCAUUGUUCGCUUUGGAAACUGUUAGACUUGAGUGCAGAAGGGGAGAGUGGAAUUCCAUGUGUAGCGGUGAAAUGCGUAGAUAUAUGGAGGAACACCGGUGGCGAAAGCGGCUCUCUGGUCUGUAACUGACGCUGAGGCUCGAAAGCGUGGGGAGCAAACAGG
rnacentral:rRNA from 1 species